CUACAACAUGGAUGAAUCUUGAGGACUCUAUGACUGCAGAGCUGCUGAGAAAGAUCUCAUCUGUUCACAAUCUACCCGCAAAAUACACAGCUGGCCAGGCACAAGGGGCCUGAUGACACCAAUACAGAGACAGAACUUCCCUUUUCGCCUCUUGGCCCCUCUGGGUCCUCCCCCAGGCCCUGGGCUGUCUGGAGUGCCCAUUUCCUGCCCUGUGGAGAUCCCUGGACUCACGGAGGAAAGUGGCCGCUAUAGCAUGUGGGUGAGCAGCCCUUGCUGCCCCAGCAGGAAAGAGCAAAAGGACACGUCAAUGGAAAGGCUCGUCAGUUCUGUGGGUAAGCCUGUCGCUUUGUGACUGCAUGAGCCAGUGGUUGCUAGGUUACCUCUGCCCCACAACUCCAGAAGCCUGGCAUCCCUCUCCUCACCCCCAUCCAGCUCCUCUUACCCUUCCUGGAGGGUCAGGAAAGCUCGCUCGAGGACCUGCUUGCCCUCCCUCCAAGCUCCCUUUCUAUCUCCCAUUCAGCGCUUUCAAUGGGGACCAAGGGAGAAAAUGAGAAUCAGGGGCUGGUUUCAGCCAGCGAGCAUCAGGCAGAGAGAGAAAACCUGGCAAAAAAGUUCGGUUGGGCUGGGUGCCAGCUCUGUCAGCCUGACCGGGCUGUCUGCCACCACGGAGGGGGUCUGUCUCCAUGCGUCCUAUUUCUGGGGAUUGAUUGGCAGCGAGCUGUCUCUUAGAUGGAGAGGAGGAGGCCGCCAACAGGAUCCAAAGCGUCCCUGCAGCCCUACUCUAGGCAGGUUAGCUGGGUGGGAGGACCCUGGGCUUUCAGUCCGGCAGGGGUUUCCAUGGGAUUCUGACACUCCCUAGACGUGCCACCUUGAGUUAGUCGUCUGUACUGCCAGAGCUGUGGAACAGUGGUAAGAAUACUUGGUUCCAAUUCCAGCUCUACUUCCUAGCUAUGAGGCCUCAGACAAUUCACCUGAUGUCUCCGAGCCUCAGUUCCUCUGUCUCUGAAACGGAGAUGAUACUUGCACUUGUUCUCACGGGAGCUUUGAGAUUGCAUGACGUAAUGCACAGGAAGGUGUUUAGAAUAGUGCUUGGCACCAAGUAUGGUAACCUAUGUUAUUACUCUCUCUGAGCCAAUACAGUGGGGUACCCUCACCUACUUCUCAGGUUGUCCUGAAGGACAAACAAACUAAUAGAAGCGAAGCACCUAGUCGUAUGCCAGGUGCACAAGAGAUGCUCAAAAGUGGUAAUAAUCAUCACUGUGAUUGGUAUCUUUUUUUUUUAAUUGAAGUAUAGAUGAUCUGUAAUUGGUAUCUUGGUGGAGGGGAGAUGGAGGGGGAUGGGAUGAGUCCUGAGCCUGAGAACUACCACGGGCAGUUUACUUUGUUUCUCUGAGGCUCAACUUGGACCGCUGAAACAGGGGACCAGGAUAAUCCUUUGUCCACAGGGCUGACGUGAGAUCAGAGGCUGUGAGGGGUGUCCACAGAGUCUGUAAACAGUGCAAGGGUUUGCAGACGAUGCUUGGUGCCGUCCUAGGAGUGAGGCUGCUGGGCCUCUGAACGGAUGGGGGUGGGCCUAGUCGAGGGUCUUCCUUCUCGGCACCCCUGGCUUCAUAUCAGUGGCCCGAGGCUUCUAGACUCUGUGUCCUCUGCUGGGGAGGAGGAGCAGGAAGGAGGAUAGCUAGAGGCAAACCCAAGUUCUUCAAAAGUUCUGCCCCUCCGCACUGAGGGGUGGGGACACAAAGCACUGCAGUGCCCCAUUCAGGGGGGCCCUCUGAGCUUGGCCUCGCCUCCAGUGCUUUUCCAUCCACGCGGGUCAGAAUGUUCUCCCUUCAGGCUCUGGCUUCUCCUGGGCUUGUCUCUGCAGGAAUGAGGUGACCCCUUUGAAACCAUUCUGAAAGCCCCGCUCUUGCAUGCUUCUGGGAAUCCUGAUGGCUACGAUGACAAAUAAGACUGGAUUUGAAAGGAGAGAGCGCUUUCUCCCCUCCUGCCAGCCCCGCUGUGCUGCUUUCAGCUCACCUGGGGGCUUUCCCACAGCUGACCUGACUCAGCUGAGAAUAAAACCCACUCAUCCUCCCCUUGCCCCUCUUACCCCUCCCAUUGUGUUGUUUAAAACUGAACACCGGGCCUCCGUGCACAUUGCUGCUUUGGGAUUGAAGGAGGUACCGUAUGGAAUGUCCUCAACACUGGUUUAUAAGGUUUAUGAGAGAAUUGAGAGGAGACCCUUCUGACUGCUCUUUACGGAGCGUCAAAAAGAGGAGAGAGAUUCUGUCUGCCUGUAAAUGGUUUGAAGUACAGUCCUCCUGCUGGGAUGCGUCAGUUAUAAGAGAAGCACUAUAAAAUUUUAUGGAAUACUUCUUAUGUGCCAGGCACUGUGCUAAUCCUUUUUUUUUUUUUUUUUUUUUUUUUUUGGUA